CUACAUUGGUCUCUUCCCAAACGUAUCCAAAACAAUGAAUACAAGAAAACAGCCCAUGCCCUUGCAAAGUCCAUUACAAUUGUAAAAGACAGGAGAUGCUUUUCACCGUUGAUCUCUGGUUUCUUGAACACUUUGGUUCAAUAAUACACCGCACGCAAUAUUCCCUGAAGCUUGCACGGAAAAGUUUGACCCCAAUGGCAGCAACAAGAGUUUCCAACACAGAUCUACAACGUGUGGCAAGCAAUCCCUUCCAUACACCUUUUCGAUUACUCUCAUUUCUAGAGGAAUCGGCAGUUUCUGAUAUCUCGGAGAAGACACUGAUGGAGGUGGCGGUGGUUAUUUUCCCUAGCUGAUACGUCGGCUUUCCUGAGGCACAUAGAUCUUUGUUUGGGAUUUUCACGAGUUGAUGGAGGAGAACAGCCUUACUGAGACAUGCUGGUUCAACAUCUUGGCCAAUGAUCUCCUUCGCUGGCAAUUGGAUGGGGCCUUUUCGGGCGACUACUAUGAUUCCACCUCUCCGGACGGCGGAGCUUCAUCGGCGGUAUCCAUGGACAUUGUCUCUGACCAAAAUAGCAUGAAGCAGAUCAAUGAAAGGCUCUUUGCACUUAGGACAGCCGUUCCCAACGUCACCAAGAUGGAUAAGGCAUCAAUCAUAAAGGAUGGAACUCAUUAGAUAUAACACUUGCAUGAAAAAGAGAGAAGGAUCCAAGAUGAGAUAAUGGAGGUUAAAUUUAAGAAACUCAAUAAUCCAAUUAUGGCGGCAUCGGCAGCAGCAGGAGACUAUGAUUUUGAACAGAAUCUUCCCAUUGUUAUCAGAUCUAAGAAGAAGAGACCCGAUAACCUUUUCUUUGAUACCUCGACUUCUUCUUCCUCAAUAAAUAACACCAACUAUUUUCCUAUUGAACUGAUUGAUCUUUAUGCACAAUUGGGUUCUUCUUGGCAAGAAUGCAAGAACGAAAACUGAGGAUUCAUCUUCCACCAAAGCUUUAAUGUCAACUGUCAGACUUGUGAAAAGGUGAUAUUUUUGUUGUCCAAUGUGUCUGUUGAAAUCUCUAAAUAUUGAGUAGUUUGAAUCGUUCUAAAAUAAUAUGUUGCAUUGAGGAGGGAGUGCGUAUGGUAUUUUGAUAGCAACAAUCUUAAGGAAUUGUCUGUAGCUUUCUGAAUAUCAUAUUGAAUAUACAAGGCUUGAUUUAAUCUCCAAUCAUGGAACUUCUCUUCUUCCUUUCCUGAUUGCGACUUUUAGGUAAAUUUCAUGUCUCUUUCCUAUUUGAUUGUCAGUGUUUUAACCACAUGCUUUGGAAAUCCAUUCAUAUUAUCUAUCAUUUUGAAAUUAGAAAUUGAUUGGAAUUUUAUUUUAUUUAAGGUGAUUUAUACUUUCACUUCUGCAUUUAGUUAUACUAUUUUUCUUUUUUCCAAUUAAUGUUGGGCUUUUAUGCUAUUUAAAAUGGUCUUUCAAUUGUGUGUUCAUUCACUUUAUGCUAAAAGAUUUUUUUUUUUUACUAUCUAUUUGCUUUCUCCCCUUUUUUUUCCCGGUUCUUACUGUGCAUAGUUUCUUUCUAUGAAAUGUUAAGCUAAAUGCUGAAACUCUCUCUUUUAUGGGAGCUGUGUGUAUACUGUAUUGGAUACAUAUAGUUCUUUUCAAGUUCUUUACUGGCAUUAUUUAUGGUUUGCACGCUUCAUCCAUCAGAUGUAACUUUUCUUACGGUACCUCUCUAACUUACUUUCUUACAAAAAAACAUAACAUAUUAGAUAUAUUAAUUUGCAUUGCUUUGUCCGUAAACUAUAUGGUCUUCUGGUGAAAUUUGUGCAGUCAGUAUUAGUUAGGCACUACAGCAAGUCAUUGUGCUAAAUUGAUGGUGGAAAAUAGGGGAAAAUAAAGAUAAUAUUAAAAAGUUGACAACAGUUGAUAAUAUUACCUACAUUUUUUUCUCUUCUAAUUUCGAUUUUAUUUUCGUGGUAAGUAAAGAUAUCUUUUAGUAUGGUGCCUGACAUGUCUAUGUAUCUUACACUAGAUGCCCUCCAUCUCCUUGCUAUAGGAAGACAAUGACAAGUUCAGAUCUGAGGACAAUUAGAUUGCACUUGUCCAUUGCUUUUGCUAAAUAUCUGAAACCAUCUGGGCAUGGUUCCAUCUGGAAUAUAACCGGUCCACCUUCCGGUGUAGGGAAAAAUAUCUUUUUCUUCUGCCCGCUGAGGAGUAGUGGAAGGGAUUCAGAGUGAAAAUUUGGGAUUGAGUGGAAGGAGUGCUGUAAGUUGUACAAGUUAAAGAAGGACAAGCUUAUCUUAAGACUAGCCUCCAUACUAGACCAGCACAUACAGUUGGAGAUCGAAAAAUUUUAAUUCCUACAAAAAAAUAGCUGUUUAUCUAUUAUCCUGCAGAAACAUUUUUCUUUAUGUCUUGGAUUGUACUGGACAUGUUCCAUUUUUUUCUUUUUUUUUUCUAGAUAUCUGACAUUCUAUGCUUUAAAUUUGCUAAAUAAUGGGUUUUCUUUUCA